CAAAACACAUGUGAAAUUCCUAAUCUCAACCCAAAACACAGUUCAAUCUCCUCCACCGCCGUUCUCUGAUUUCACCUUCAUUCAACCUUCUCCUCAGAUUCGUUCAACCUUCAGCUUCAAUCUUCAAAAUCCAGGUUUUGUAGGUUCUUCUACUGCCGGAAGUGAGUCAACCAGUUUGACGUUACACAAGUUCCUUGAUAAGCAUAGCUUAUUGUUUUGCAUAAGUCUUUUCAAAGCUUUAUAAAUUUAAAUCAUGAAAGAUAAGGCAUGUUUGGUUGAUCUGUUGCUAUGCUUGGAGCCUUUCAUCAGUUGUAUUUUUUGGCCUGCAUCUAUCCGCUAUUAAGACAGCCGAUUACAAACAACAGUUGCUUGUCAAAAUAAAACAAUUGCCGCAAGCUAAACAUGGAAAUAUAGAUAUGGAUCCAACAGAUUUGAAUGAACGAAAUCCUUCUAUUGGUAAUACUACUCAUGGAAGUAAUGCAAAUGAUGGUACACAUGUUGAUGAGUAUAUUGAUGAUUUUUGAAUGUAGAACUUAAAGAAUUAUUUAAAGUACGAUAUGUAGGCACCUUAAAGUUAUUAAAACCGUUAACAUUUUGGAUGUAUUGAUGACUUUGAUAUUAUGUAAUGUGAGAUACUUAUUGUUCUGGACAAGACUUUUGGGCUGAACCAAGCCCAAUGUCAAAUCCAAUGGCCCAAUGUCACAUCCAUUGGCCUAUAUAUACGACCUUCACAAACCUCACAAGGUAUGCAUGGCUCUAACCUCGACCUCCACCUCAAGCUUAUACUGACUUGGGCGUCGGAGCGUUAUCUGCAGGUACCCCCCUUUCGGUGUUGCCGGUCGUCCCUGAUGCUCGGAUUCAAACCUCCAGCUCGGAGCAUCCUUCCACGGAUCCAUCAAUCUGCUGCAAUCAGAAUACGUUGGGAAACAAACUCCGUUAAUCCCAGGGCAAGUCUUAGAUCCUGUCACCAUUGAUUAUGGGAAAUGCAGUCGGGUAAUGUGACUGUAUCAUGGACGAGCCUUUCAUCGAGUACAUAGGAGCACUAAUGGCACCCUAUGAAAUUACCUGCAAAAUUUCCAUUUCGUAAAGGGCCUGAUAUAAAAGAAUGGUUAUCGUAGUACUCGUGACCUAUGAAGCACUGACUCAUAUAAUAUACAUUAUCUCAGUUUCUUUAAGUUCCAAAUACUCUCUGUUGUGACUAAAGUCUGAAUAAAUGUUUUGUGUUGUUAUGUAA